GCUGGCGGCAUGCCUAACACAUGCAAGUCGAACGGAAACGACAGGAGCUUGCUCCUGGGCGUCGAGUGGCGGACGGGUGAGUAAUGCAUAGGAAUCUGCCCAUGUAGUGGGGGACAACCUGGGGAAACUCAGGCUAAUACCGCAUGAGCCCUUCGGGGGAAAGCAGGGGAUCUUCGGACCUUGCGCUAUUGGAUGAGCCUAUGUCUGAUUAGCUUGUUGGUGGGGUAACGGCCUACCAAGGCGACGAUCAGUAGCUGGUCUGAGAGGACGAUCAGCCACACUGGGACUGAGACACGGC
rnacentral:rRNA from 1 species